CUCCACUAUGUGGCGGAAUGCUCACACGGAGAGAAAGAGCGAGCGCGAGAGAGUCCGGUGUCACCGUGAUCACUCGCCUACAGUGUGACGUGCACGAGGCCCUGGUCAAACGCUCUCUGUCCCCAGAGGUGAGCACGCUUACAGCCGGAGCGGAGAGUACGCGAUCUUAUCUUUUGGAAGGAAAGUCUUUCCUGUUAACUGCGUGCGUUUUAUAGAACUGUCGCCUAAGCUCCUACGGACCUCAUGAAGGCUAAAAAGUGUUUAUUCUUCUUCUAAGAGACUUUGGCUGGUGUUCCUCAAGGCUGUGUGUUUUUAAUUGUCGCUCUACUCAAGAACGAAUCAAACACUCAGACUGUAGAGUUUGCAAUUCCCAUUUGAAAGGACAAAACAUCAAUUGACGACUGACAGCUCUCUGAUCUACCAACAACGUCCGAAAACACUGGACUGGAGCAUUAUAACAUGAAUUUACCACACUGGUUGUGGAAUAUUUAUUUCAAACGGAGUCUCAUUUGGAUCCUACUGUUCUGAAUGUGGAAUCUGAAACCAAUUUUGUUAUCAGAGAAACGUGUUACGAAUUUCCAUUGAUUUUUGAGACGUAGUCUUGAAACCGGCUAUGAAAUUGGCUAAUUGUGCUUAUCUGAAUACUCAACAGUUACUCAUAAAAUUAUCUCGACCUUUUUGUCCAACUAUUUGAUUUGUGGUGUUUUCUAACUUAAUGAUUUUACUAGGGGGAGAAAAUAGCCCAAGAUGUUAACUUAGAAAAAGAACAUCAGAAACAGAAAGAGAGAGAGAGAGAGAGAGAGAGAGAGAGAGAGAGAGAGAGAGAGAGAGAGAGAGAG